CGAACGCUGGCGGCAGGCCUAACACAUGCAAGUCGAGCGCACCCUUCGGGGCGAGCGGCGGACGGGUGAGUAACGCGUGGGUAACCUGCCCUACACACAAGGAUAGCCAUUGGAAACGAUGAUUAAUACUUGAUAACACAUUUAGGUCACAUGGUCUUAAUGUCAAAGAUUUAUCGGUGUAGGAUGGACCCGCGUCUGAUUUGCUAGUUGGUAAGGUAACGGCUUACCAAGGCGACGAUCAGUAGCCGACCUGAGAGGGUGAUC
rnacentral:rRNA from 1 species